rnacentral:rRNA from 1 species
ACGACGCUGGCGGCGUGCUUAACACAUGCAAGUCGAACGGUGAAGGGGCUGGCUUUUGUUGGUCCUGGAUGAGUGGCGAACGGGUGAGUAACACGUGAGUAACCUGCCCCCUUCUUCUGGAUAACCGCAUGAAAGUGUGGCUAAUACGGGAUAUUCUGGGUCUGUCGCAUGGCGGGCCCGGGAAAGAUGCGCCUUUGGGUGUUUUUGGUGGGGGAUGGGCUCGCGGCCUAUCAGCUUGUUGGUGGGGUGAUGGCCUACCAAGGCGGUGACGGGUAGCCGGCCUGAGAGGGUGGACGGUCACACUGGGACUGAGACACGGCCCAGACUCCUACGGGAGGCAGCAGUGGGGAAUAUUGCACAAUGGGCGCAAGCCUGAUGCAGCGACGCCGCGUGAGGGAUGGAGGCCUUCGGGUUGUAAACCUCUUUCGCCAGUGAAGCAGGCCUGCUCCUUGUGGGUGGGUUGACGGUAGCUGGAUAAGAAGCGCCGGCUAACUAC